AACGAACGCUGGCGGCAUGCCUAACACAUGCAAGUCGAACGCGUGGCUUCGGCCACGAGUGGCGCACGGGUGAGUAGCGCGUGGGAACCUGCCCUUCGGUACGGAAUAACCUCGGGAAACUGUGGCCAAUACCGUAUACGCCCCAUGGGGGAAAGAUUUAUCGCCGAAGGAGGGGCCCGCGUCCGAUUAGGUAGUUGGUGAGGUAACGGCUCACCAAGCCUUCGAUCGGUAGCUGGUCUGAGAGGAUGAUCAGCCACACUGGGACUGAGACACGGCCCAGACUCCUACGGGAGGCAGCAGUGGGGAAUAUUGGACAAUGGGGGAAACCCGUGAUCCAGCAAUGCCGCGUGAGUGAU
rnacentral:rRNA from 1 species